AUGACCAGUAAUUUUUCUUUCUCACCAAAGGUUCCACCACUAAGGGGAGAGAUUGAGAGAGAUACAGGGAGGACAGUCUGCUCACACAGCUCACCGAGGCACUGCGCCACGUCGACGGAGCCUGAUGCUGUAGCGGACAGCCGUAGCCGAGGCAAAAGUGGAUCUGUGGAUGAACCUGGGCAGAGGAGGAAGGAGCCGACCAAUCCCAAUCCCAGGUACGGCCACCCGCCAGCGGUCACCGCCAGUCCCCCACGCCGGCAAGCCACGUCGCCGGCGUCCAAUCCCCCAGACGCCGGUGCCCCACCCCCACGCUCAGCCGUCCGCGGUCUAGGAUGCAUGGUAUUCAAUGGCACUCAAUUGCACACGAGGCCGGUCAUUAGAUCUCACGGCAAUUUUCCUUUGGAUCUCCUCUUGUCAGGGGCCUUCGAUGACUUCAUUGCUUGGAAUCCGGACAGCAAAGGUUACUUCUCAGUCAAAACGGCAUACAAAAUUCAGUGGGCUCACUCUGUCCAGACCCGUGCAAAUGUAAUGACACGUCCGAGCAGUUCAAAUACACCAGAAGUAUGGAGUUGGCUCUGGAAGGAGGCUAAUGAUAAAGCAAGAACUACCACGGAGCAGAGAUGGUGCAAGCCAGAACCCAGGUGCAUAAAGGUGAAUGUGGACGCUGUGUUUUUUAUUGAUGAAGGGGUGGCGGCUACAGUAGCUAUAAUCAGAGAUGAUAAAGGAAAUUUCCUAGCUGCACAAUGUUUUCCUCGCGUGGAAGCUGAGUCAGACUCCCUUACUGUGAUUCAGUUUUGUGAUGGACAGUUAAUAUGGUGGGAUGCAGCAGCGGCGUUAUUCGCAGAAUGUGUAGAUGUGGCAGCAUCGAUUGGGAAGGUCAUCUUCAGACAUUGUUUCCGUUCUAGUAAUCAAGCGGCGCAUGUGCUUGCUAAAUUUUGCAUUUGUAAUAAGACCUCAAAGAGCUGGACAGAUGAGCCUCCGGGUUGUCUGGUCUCUCGUCUCAUAGAUGAUGUACUUCCUUUCAUUGAUUAA
rnacentral:rRNA from 1 species